rnacentral:misc_RNA from 1 species
AUACAGACCUGAAGGCGGGGCUUUCUCUUCUUGAAUGUUAUGGUGCAAGGACACGUUUGAAGAGCAGUUUGACCCCAGCGAGUGUCGGCUUUUUCCCGUUCAACAACAGCUGUUUGAUUUUGUGGACAAGGCCGGGGGCGGCUGCCAUGGCGGAUCCUCGAGGGCACCGCAUUGGCUCUGCUUCUCCAUCGAGUUCCCGCCAGCAAGCGAGGUAUCACGCCUCCUGUCUCGUCAUGCGCCCACCAACUUAUUCCAGCGGCGGCAAGAGCCCCCCAACGUCCUCGCCGCCCAGCGGAAGCGAGUGCGCGAGGACUUCUCCCUCCUCUACGGUGCUACACCACUGUCGCAGCAGAGUCGCAUGUUUCUUGCCGCCACACUCGACGGUGUGCGGUCCAUCUUGUCACGAAUUGAUUCCCGCCAGCUGCACCUAUACGAGAUUAUUCGCGAGGGAGGUCCGUGUCAUCUCUACCUGGACGUGGAGAGAGAGACUAAUCAUACGGCACUGCAGCAUGUUAUCGCGGUCGACGACGACUCGACGUCAUCCUCUGUGGAGGAAACCGACUCGCUCGUGCAGGUGGAGGAGGACGUCAGCGGCAUCCGACGCAUCGCCUUUCAAUGUUGCCAGAGCCGGUAUCAGGAACUGCGUCGGCUCGCGGCGCGUGAGCCGACUGACGUAUGUGGAUUAGACUGUCAUAUCGAGCCGGAUAAUCGUAACACGUGCGACGUGUUGCUCAGCGCACUGGACUCCUUUGUGCGCGAUCGGCACCCCUCGUGGGUUCCUCCACGACUCGAAGUCGAGGGACCAGGAAGCGUCUUUGCAGAUGUCUGGGUGCUGGAGUCUCUGCCUCUCUCUGGCGCGGCGACAAAAUUCUCACAACACUACAUUCUCAAGCUGCACGGCCGCAUGUUCGAGUCCACAAACUCUGUGAAGGUGUUUGUGCGCGACUUUGUGGCGCACGUGAGCGAGCGAGCCGCGCACGAUUCUCAACUGCACGGCGCCCUCUUCUUUCACAAGCCCCCUGCAUGGUAUCCGGUGUUUCGCGCGCUACCACCUGAUUAUCCCCGUAACACCUUCCCCUACCUCCCGCGGCGUUGCGUGAUUGACGAGGCUGUCUACUCCAAGAACCGAAUGAUGCGUUGCGUCGGUAGCUGUAAGCUGGGCAAGCAGAGUGUUUUGCUGCCGUAUCGUCAUUACGUUGCUGGCUCCUGUGUUGAACACUUUUCGAACUCUGUCGACACCGCGUCGAUAUCUUUGGAUGUUUUUCUGAGCACCUUGAUCGGACAUCGUUUCGCAAAGGACGUUGCACCCGUUUCCCUCAUCAAGCUCACGGAAGAGAUUGAUGCUCCCAAGAACACGCGAGCGUGUGCGCUGCCGGCGAGCCUGAGUGAGGGGACUGUCCCGGCAACGCUGCACACCGUCUCACUGAACGUCGACAUCGCCCUGCUUACCUCAAGCUUGCAGAAGGCGUACUCGCAGGUUGCGAAUCGCGCAUGCACAGUGGCCCAGCCGCACAGUCUCCACGGCCGGUUUCUCAGCUUUUCUGUACGUGGAACGCGCUAUUGCCAAAAUAUCGGCCGUGAGCACAAAUCCAAUAACGUCUACCUUGUGGUGGAUACGGUGCGAAUGACGUUUGUGCAAAAGUGCUUCGAUCCGGACUGCGCCUCUUACCGAUCACCACCCCACCUUCUUGGCGGCGCUCCGUAAACCACGCAGGGCCGGGCGGGCAGGUUAUGUUUCUGUCCCUUUUCCCACUGCAUGGCAGGCUUGCCGCUGCCACGCGGUGUGGACAUCGCGUCGCCGCCCGUGCUCUCCUAGUUGAUGGAAUAGAGCAGAACAAAUAG